UACGAAGGGGGCUAGCGUUGCUCGGAAUCACUGGGCGUAAAGCGCACGUAGGCGGGUUGUUAAGUCAGGGGUGAAAUCCUGGAGCUCAACUCCAGAACUGCCUUUGAUACUGGCAACCUAGAGACUGGAAGAGGUUAGUGGAAUUCCCAGUGUAGAGGUGAAAUUCGUAGAUAUUGGGAAGAACACCCGUGGCGAAAGCGGCUCUCUGGAACGGUACUGACGCUGAGACGCGAAAGCGUGGGGAGCGAACAGG
rnacentral:rRNA from 1 species